UGAUGUGAGGAGGAUCUUUCCUACCGGGUCACCUGCUGUCUCAUUGAUCAACAGGAUUGCUUCAGCUAACCUGGCUGGCUAAGCAGGAGUCCCCUGCUAUUCUUAUCACUCUAUAUGUGUCUGCUCUGAAGCUAACUGCUCUGUAGAAGAGGCCCAUUCUCAGUCAAUGAAACACUAGCAGCUGUGCUCCCUGCUAGAACCUCCAAACAAACUCUCAAGGAUAAAGGAACGUGUCUGAGGCUUUCAUGUCAGAGGCCAUAGGAACUCUCAUCAUGGCCACCCCAUGGGUGAUGGGU
rnacentral:snRNA from 1 species